GUCUAUGGCCAUACCACCCUGAACAUGCCCAAUCUCAUCUGAUCUCAGAAGCUAAGAGUUGAGCCUGGUCAGUACUUGGAUGGGAGAACUUCCUUCAACAGACCACCCUGGAAC
rnacentral:rRNA from 1 species